AUGAACGCUGGCGGCGUGCCUAAUACAUGCAAGUCGAGCGAACAGACGAGGAGCUUGCUCCUCUGACGUUAGCGGCGGACGGGUGAGUAACACGUGGAUAACCUACCUAUAAGACUGGGAUAACUUCGGGAAACCGGAGCUAAUACCGGAUAAUAUAUUGAACCGCAUGGUUCAAUAGUGAAAGACGGUUUUGCUGUCACUUAUAGAUGGAUCCGCGCCGCAUUAGCUAGUUGGUAAGGUAACGGCGUACCAAGGCAACGAUGCGUAGCCGACCUGAGAGGGUGAUCGGCCACACUGGAACUGAGACCCGGUCCAGACUCCUACGGGAGGCAGCAGUAGGGAAUCUUCCGCAAUGGGCGAAAGCCUGACGGAGCAACGCCGCGUGAGUGAUGAAGGUCUUCGGAUCGUAAAACUCUGUUAUUAGGGAAGAACAAAUGUGUAAGUAACUAUGCACGUCUUGACGGUACCUAAUCAGAAAGCCACGGCUAACUACGUG
rnacentral:rRNA from 1 species